AUGGCCCCAUCAAAAUGCAGAGUCCGGGCCUCAUUCUGGAUUGCCAACGGAGUCAACGGCGAAGUGCGCAACCAAUGGGUCUUGUGCUCUCGGAUGCUUCGGAGUUCAUGCUCCAGAUCAAAGUGGUUGGAGUCCAUGGAAGCCAACAAAUGGACAUAUGACUUUUCUUUGCCCAAGCAACAAGACAAGCUGGUGGCACUGGUUUGCAGGACAUUGUCGGUUCAUGAAUUUUAUCGUUUGCGCUUUGAUGUGCUAGCACGAGUGGCUCCUCGCCGACACGCGAAACAGUGGCUUCUUCCAGCGGCCGAAGCAGCCGCGUAG
rnacentral:rRNA from 1 species